rnacentral:lncRNA from 10 species
GUUGGUCUCGAACUCCUGGGCUCAAGCCAUCCACCUACCUCAGCCUCCCAGAGUGCUGGGAUUACAGGUGUGAGCCACCAUGCCCGGCUGAACACUACUGAUUUAAAUGCAUGGGCACAAGGAAAGGAGUAGUUAACAAAGUUGCUUUGUUAGUUUGGUUAUUUUUAUAUCAAUAAAGGCCACAAGAUGGAAAUAGGAGCAGGACAAGAGGAAGGAAAUCCCUUGGGGUGAGUGUGGCUCUGGAAGGGAAGAGGUUAAAUUAUAAAGGAAGGGAAUGAACCAUAGGCCAAGGAGGAUCCUGGCACAUGGCAACUGGUAAAACUUGGAGGAUGAACAAGGUCUGGUCUCACAAACUCAUAAGCUACAGAGACCAGUGCGAUCUCAGAGGAGAGCUGCUGGAAUGGGGACAGUAGGGAGUGCAGGAGGUGAGAGUAAACUGGAGAUCCAUGCCCAUAACAAUGGGAUAACCAACACCCAACUCCGGCCAGGUCUUUUCAGAUGGUAGUGUGGGUCGUGGUUGCCAGCCUUUCCAAUAUACCAAGAAAAUCCACAAGGCUAGAUUUUUCUAGGAAAUCUCUCUGUUGUCAAUAUUGGAUCAAAAGAAAAGUUUUGAAACACUAGGUAGACCCAGAGAAAAAUGCUUGCAGGUGAAUUUGGGUAGUCCGACUCAUGGGAUCUCUGAGGGGCCAUUCUCAUCUAAGGUGCUGUGGUACAUGCCCACUCUGCUGGUUGAUGAAAGGGAGACAGGUUUCAGCUCACACAAGAUGGAAUUUACCACCAGUCUAUGCUGGCAAACAGUGAGCAGGCUGGGCAGAGGAGUAGUAAGCAUUCCCUGGGGCACCGGGCUCCGCACAGGCCAGGAGCUGUCACAGGAGCUAAAGCAGGGAUUCCUGUGCCAUCUCCGGUCCCUUCUGGAUCUGAGAUUCAGGAAUUCUGGGGCUGUGAUUCCUUGAAGGCAGAGCCGGGAACAUGAAAACCGUAGACACUAAUCAAUGCCUGUAG